UUCGGUCGUCUUCCGAUAAGAAGCACAAUCUGCCGCUGUCAGCCGGUGUCGUGCCGGUAGAGGUAAAACGAGUGUACAUUUUGACUUCUAAAUAAUCAGAUUUUCGUCAAUUGAUGCCAUGAUUAACUUCACCGAUUUACGAUAAUAGGCUGCCUGCCCUACAGUAGGCCGUUCAGACUCAUUGCAUGGAUAUUUGUGUUAUAAAAUGCCACGUCAAUUUGAAGGAGUUUGCGGAAUUAAAUGAUGAUUCCGAUUGAGAUGUCAUCUGUCAUGGACUGAGCCCUGGUGCAGCUGGCUGCCUGGGCAGAGGAUCCCCGUUGCUAGGGAGACUUCACCACAGAGACGUGGCCCUGAGAGAGCAAAUAGAGGAGGGGCCAGAAGAAACCCUCACCUAGGGUAAACUACACAGACAGGAGAGAGAAGAAGAGGUGGAGAGAGGAGAGAGGUCCAAAGAGGAAGAAAGGACUGAGGGAAGAGAGAAGGAGAGUCUGUCAGUCUCAGGAUGGGUUAUGACCUGGAGAGGUUUGUGGGGUACGUGAACGAGGGGCUUCUGUGCUGUGUGUGUCGGGAUGUGUUGGAGCGCCCCCUCCAGGCCCCUUGUGAACAUGCCUACUGCGAUGCCUGCAUCAGCUCCUGGCUCAUACACCACCACUCCUGCCCUGAGGACAGACUUCCACUGGACAUCAGCACUCUGAGACCACUGCACAGGUACACACACUCCCACAGAAACACCCACGCAGACACAUACACACUCACGCAGAAACACUCACGCAGAAACACUCACGCAGAAACACUCACAUACACACACACACACACACACACUAUAAUAUGGUUAUUCCAACAACCACUGUCUGGUCUGUUAGGUACAUCAAAUCAAAUUUCAAAUCAAAUUU